GGUGGCUCAGUGGUAGAGCACUUGUCUUGCAUGCAUAAGGCCCUGGGUUCGAUUCCUUAGCACCA
rnacentral:tRNA from 1 species